GGUGUCUGGAAUGGAGGCUGAUCCAAGAUCCUUGGUGCAAAAUACCAGGGCAUUGUAGCAUGUGCCAUUGGUAUUCCUUUUGUUUUGUCUUUGUUUUUGAUUUCGAGUUUGUUAUCGAGGAUCUCGGACCAGGCUUCAUUCCUCACACC
rnacentral:pre_miRNA from 1 species